UACGUAGGGCGCGAGCGUUGUCCGGAAUUACUGGGCGUAAAGAGCUCGUAGGCGGUUUGUCGCGUCGGCCGUGAAAACUUGGGGCUUAACUCCAAGCUUGCGGUCGAUACGGGCAGACUUGAGUUCGGCAGGGGAGACUGGAAUUCCUGGUGUAGCGGUGAAAUGCGCAGAUAUCAGGAGGAACACCGGUGGCGAAGGCGGUUCUCUGGGCCUUACCUGACGCUGAGGAGCGAAAGCGUGGGGAGCGAACAGG
rnacentral:rRNA from 1 species